AGACCGGCGCACGGGUGCGUAACGCGUAUGCAACCUACCUUCAUCUAGGGGGAUAGCCCGGAGAAAUCCGGAUUAAUACCGCAUAAAAUCACAGGAUGGCAUUAUCCAAUGAUCAAACAUUUAUGGGAUGGAGAUGGGCAUGCGUGUCAUUAGCUAGUUGGCGGGGUAACGGCCCACCAAGGCGACGAUGACUAGGGGAUCUGAGAGGAUGGCCCCCCACACUGGUACUGAGACACGGACCAGACUCCUACGGGAGGCAGCAGUAAGGAAUAUUGGUCAAUGGAGGCAACUCUGAACCAGCCAUGCCGCGUGCAGGAAGACUGCCCUAUGGGUUGUAAACUGCUUUUAUUCGGGAAUAAACCUAUUUACGUGUAAAUAGCU
rnacentral:rRNA from 1 species